GUCUGCUCUGACAGCACAUAUACUGAAAUUGAAAUGAUACAGAGAUUAUUAGCAAGGCCUUGUGCCAGAAUGACAUGCAACUUCAUGAAGCGUUCUGUAGUGUG